rnacentral:lncRNA from 1 species
UGCCGUUUGCAUCACCAUACGGAUAGUGGUAAGAAUGCAACAGCAAAUCCAAUAGUAGGUAAUUGUGACAGUAUUUCACCACCAGUAAUCUUGCUGUCUUUUAUGGUUGCAGGUUUGUUCUUCCGGCAUUAUUCAUGGUUCUCAUCAUAGCCAUACUGAAUGAUGCAGGUGGCAUACCUGAAUUUAUCAUAUGAAUUAUGACUUUAUGAGCUUGCUUGGCUACUGACCUGCUGUUUUGGAAGGGCGUCCUUUUACCAGAGCUAUGGAUUUUAUUAUGCCCCAUUUCCUUCAGGUCUUUUAUCGCUCCAUCCUUGAUUUAUCUGAGUCCAUUGGGGUUGCUCAUGAAUUACAGAAUUUAGGCUUACAGUAAGAUGAACUUCCUUGAGAAUCAAUAAUAGAAAAUUUUUGGUUAAGAGUAAUUUCCAACGCGUCGUCAAUUUUGUUUUUCUGAUGUUUGGGUCUUGGCCUGUAUGCUUUGUUUGCCUAUAUGCUCUGUUUGGAACCUUUUAUUCUCCUUUUGUCUUGGUCUGAAUUCAUGGAUAAAUUGCCUCCUUUUUUACUUGCUUGGGCUUGGGAUUGGGCUUGGAAGAACUUUAUCCUGUACUUGGUUACUUGGGUUGUAUGACACCUAUGGUUUACCUCAUUGUGCUUCCAGUUCAUUUGCCUUUGUUGGUGGCUGGGGGUAAAUAUUUAGUUUGAAUUAUAGUUGAUUGUCUUUGGAUGUUGCUAAUUUUGUAUGAGCUGCAGGUGACAUGUUCUAUCUAUUUUUUAUAGAAAAAUAUUUUCUUUCUACUACCUCCAAUCCAAAGUAAGUGUCGCAGUUUUGAGCCCGGGUUCGUUCAAAACUGCCACACUUAUUUUGGAUCGGAGGGAAUAAUAUUUAGUUUUCUUCCAGUAUUAAUGAUGCUUUCACUCUUUUGUCAGAUUAACAAUUUCCAUUGACCUUUUGUUGCAUCUUUGAUUGUAAUCAGCAUCGAAUGGUUAUCUGGCUAUGCUUUGCAUUAUUAUAGAUCGUAUAUGCUGCUGCUACUUAAUUAUACUUCUAUGUGAUCAUGCAAUUGUAUUCAUUUUUAAUGUUCACCGGUGAUGGAAAAGCGCCGACUGAUAUGAAGCUAAGAGUAAGAAAAAUAAGAGGCAAUUGAACAUGCUUCCCUCGGCAGAAAUAAUUUAAAGGCCUAAGUAGGAAACUGGAUUAGGUUGACUAAUCUUACCUGGCUAGCUUAGCUCAUGUUGAGUGUUAUUUCUGAUUAUUACUUAUCACAGGAACCAAAUAGAAAUCACUUCUCAUGGAAAUUUAUACCUAGGUCUUAUGUCGUGUACACCAACUUCAGUGGCCCAAAAUUAUAUUUUUGAUUCAAAUUAUGGACACCAUUUUGGAGUGGCCUGAUUCACAAGGGGUGCAGUUUCAUAGUAAGACGGAGAACAUGAUGUUUCCGUAUAACUACAAAAUCUGUACAAGCUAUAGUGGUGGCCUGCUUUUUUGUCAUACAUAGUUGAAUACGCUGCUUGCAUGGUGCAAACUGGAAACUUGUAGGUUACUGGAGCAUUCAUUCAGUCAUAAUGAUUCACUCAUAUUCAGUUAGUUUACAAAUCUAGAGAUCAUAAUUUCUGUCUAAAAACUGUACUUCUAUUUUUUAUUUACAGGGCCUGGUCACAGAUGGCAUUUUUUCUGGGUUGUGGUGAAAUACUUUUGUUCUUUUUUGGAAAACAUGUGCUCUAACUCAAGUGAGAGUGUAAACAAGUAUUUCAACUCAACUCCAGGCAAUAGUUGCCAUUUAGGUUAGUUCAAGUUUAAUUUUGGGUGCCAUUCAGUUUAGUCAAUUCUGGGCAAUAAUUGUCAUUUAGUUCAGUUCAAAUUCAGUCUUGUGUGCCAUUUAGUUAAGUGUUAGGAGCAACAAGUGGAAUUCAGUUCAGUUUUGUUCAGCUUUGUUCAGCUUUGUUCAUAAUUCUGCAUAUGUUGUUCUUCUGUUCAAUUCUGCAAAUGCUCAAAGCUUACCAGAACACUUAUUUAGUCAUAACGUUCAAGCAAACAGUGGAACAUUUUGCCAUUAAAAUAUGUUCAACCCUACACUUAUACAAGUAGCAACUGGAAUUCUUAUUCAAUCAGAACUACAAUAUUUUGUUAUCUUAAUAUUUCUCUCCAUAUUCACUUAACAUGAGUGACUCAGUUGAACGCUUCAUGCACAAACCACAGGGGGCGUUGACCCACCGUGGAUGUUGGUCGCUGCAUGCCUGCGCUGUUCUUUGCUCUGCUGCGUGGAGCGCUUGUGUUGCCAGCCUACAAUUGGUGUCGGGACUUUCGUUCGGUUCUGCUUGGCGGCGGUGAUUUCCUUCGGUUCUGCUGGGCCCUUCUAUCUAGCGGCCCCUAGAAGGGAGCACGGGUGACGCCAUCUCGUCUGGUGCUGAAGCUCCCAAACAGCUCACCUCGUGGCAGCAAGGUACGCCUUCAACUCAUUCCUCCCCUAUCUCUUCCCCCAACGCAACUUUCUGCCGUUAGUUGCUCCAGGCAAAGGAAGCUUGAGCAGGUAACAUAGCGCCCACCUCAUUCAGAUUUGAUUUUUGCAGUAGUACAAAAUUCAUACCUGCCGCAUCACCAAUACGAGUACUCCAGGAAAAUGUGAGUGGGAAACAGAUUAUGUGCUUGAUAAAGUUUGUCCUUUGUAGAAUCACAUGCAAAUUUAGUACAUUGAUCUGCAAUGGGAAAUAAACAAGCUUCUCAUUCCAAAUCAGCAUUAUUUUGAGUUAUUACAAGGUUAGGAAUCAGAUUAUGUACUGAUAAUCAUUUUAUUUCAAGCUAAAUUGUAAUUGUUAGAUGGUCAUGUCUAUUAAUUUCCUAUAGACAACCCUUCUUGAGUUUCCUAUGGAUUUAUUACGGUUUCAAAAUGGUCAAGCAUUCAAGCUAGCAGCAGCAAAAAUUUGUCCCAACUAUUAAGCUACAAGAUUUAGCAAUGCAUGCUAUAUGUAGCAAUUUGGCCCCAAAAACCUGAACACCAUACCACAGAAAUUAGAAGACUUAGCAAAGCAUGCAUUCAUGUGACCAAGCAUCAUAUUGCAGUUACAAUACACAUAGAUUGAGUAAUAUAUCCUUGCUUUUUCAGGAGUCAGUCAAAAUAUGCAAGUAUGUGCACCCAGUUUGUUCAAGCCCCUUGCUCAGAAGUUGGUCUGGAGAUGCAAGAAUACAGGUAAACUGCAUAUAUAACUGCAUUUUUACGCAGAACUGAAAUCUCACAGAAACUACACUAAACUGGAUUGAGAUUAUUGAAAAAUGUUAAUUAAAUGUUAAAUGGAUAACUUUGUGAUAAUCUACACCAUAUCUUUAUGGACUAGGACCAAUCAAAACAACAUGCAGGAAUUGUUCAUCCUCAUGGAACCAAAAAACCAUCCAUCCACUUUCACUGCAAGUCAACACUGUACUGAGCUUUCCCUGUCCAUACACUUCCGAAACAGAAUGCCAGAUUGUUAAAUACUGACCAAGAUAACGAUAUUUAGAAACAAAUCACCUCACCCUCACCUCUUUCUGAUUAGUUUUUUGCUGCUGAACUAUUGCUGUCGGCUGUCGGAGUGCCUUUGCUGCUUGGGGUUCUUGCUUAACUUCCGCCUGCUGUGGAUGCCGCUUUGUGCUCGAGUUCUUGCUUAACUUCCGCCUGCUGUGGAUGCCGCUUUGUGUUUGGGUCUUUCCUUCUUGCUGCUGGUGUCGCUGUCUUUUUGUUGGCCAGGGGCAUGAUAUCUGGGGCAGCAGCCAAUCCUCCACGGGUGAAGUGAAGGUUUAUGUUUGUCACAAUUUCCAAUAUUAGCAUAGUAUGUAUUUGCAUGUUGCAAAGAUCUCAGUAUGAGGAGAUUUAGAUUCAUUCAACUCAACCAUUGACAGGCAGGGAGACAACAAAGGGGGCAGUAUAAUUGCAUCCCAUUAUUAUUUUUCUCUUUAUUAGAUGGCAUAUUGUUAUUUGUUCUAUAUAUACUUAACGUCCCCGUAUGGCUGCUUUUGAGAAAAAACCCGUAUUACCAUGUAUCCGUGUUUCUUAGUUCUUAUUCAUCCUAAGUUUUAGCAGAUUAAUUAAUCAUUUGCUUUUCUCAAUUUUAUUGUUUUGGAAAUUUUGUUCCUCUACCAUUUAUCAAGUACGGUUUGCGAGAGGUGGUUGCUAUUCAUACGUUCUAGUAUAUGUAAUACAAAAGGUACUUCUCAUUCAGUAUUUAAACGAUCUGGUGUCGUUCUAUUGCAUGGCAUUUGAAUUGCCCAAUGCUUGGUUGUGAGAGAUGAUAUCCAUCUCAGAAAGGAGAAAGGGUCACUGCUGGUCAAAUGCUUUGUGCCUAGGACUGAUAUGAACUUCUCUUCCACAACUAGACAAUUAUCCGAUCUAUUUCAAUUGUCUGGAUGUUAACUCGAG